rnacentral:RNase_MRP_RNA from 2 species
GGAUGCCCUGAAGACCUGCUCGCUAGGCUACGAACGGAGGACGCGGUUCCUCACGGGCUCCGGCCCGCCUAGGGGAAAGUCCCCGGGCCGCAGGCAGAGAGUGUCGGGCGCUGGCCGCGCUCCUGCCCGCCCCGACACCGCGUAGCUGCCGCCAAGACGCCCCCGGGCUGAGCGGGCGGGCGCGGGGCGGGUUCUCGUCAUGGACACAGGUACGCAGGUAGUGCGCGUGGCGCACUAACAGCACGGGGCUCACUCUUAGGACAUC